GACGAACGCUGGCGGCGUGCUUAACACAUGCAGGUCGAACAAUGAAGCUGGAGCUUGCUCCGGUGGAUUAGUGGCGAACGGGUGAGUAACACGUGAGCAAUCUGCCCUUGACUCUGGGAUAACUGCGGGAAACUGUAGCUAAUACCGGAUACGAGGCUCGAAGGCAUCUUCGGGUCUGGAAAGAAUUUCGGUCAAGGAUGAGCUCGCGGCCUAUCAGCUUGUUGGUGAGGUAAUGGCUCACCAAGGCGACGACGGGUAGCCGGCCUGAGAGGGUGACCGGCCAAACUGGGACGGAUACACGGCCCAGACUCCUACGGGAGGCAGCAGUGGGGAAUAUUGCACAAUGGGCGAAAGCCUGAUGCAGCAACGCGGCGUGAGGGAUGAAGGCCUUCGGGUUGUAAACCUCUUUUAGCAGGGAAGAAGCGAAAGUGACGGUACCUGCAGAAAAAGCACCGGCUAACUACGUGCCAGCCGCCGCCGUAA
rnacentral:rRNA from 1 species